rnacentral:rRNA from 1 species
UACAGAGGUGCCGAGCGUUAGGCGGAAUCACUGGGCUUAAAGCGUGUGUAGGCGGACUUCUAAGUACCUUGUGAAAUCCCACGGCUCACCCGUGGAACUGCUGGGUAUACUGGUCGUCUUGAGCCACCUAGGGGCGAGCGGAACAAAUGGUGGAGCGGUGAAAUGCGUAGAUAUCAUUUGGAACGCCAACGGUUGAAAACAGCUCGCUGGGGGUGUGCUGACGCUGGAGACACGAAAGCCAGGGUAGCGAACGGG